ACUUUAAUUGAAGAGUUUGAUCAUGGCUCAGAUUGAACGCUGGCGGCAGGCCUAACACAUGCAAGUCGAGCGGUAACAGGGAUCAGCUUGCUGAUUCGCUGACGAGCGGCGGACGGGUGAGUAAUGUCUGGGAAACUGCCUGAUGGAG
rnacentral:rRNA from 1 species